UAAAAUUUUAGUUGUGCACUUUUACCUUAUUUUUUUAGCUCUGGGAAUCCAAACAGGUGGGCUAAAGAGAGCAAAUAGCUAAAAUUUAGAUAAAAAAUGUUGCUCCCAAAGAGGUCCUAAGAGGAGCUAAAAGUGCUCCCGGAUGCCAUUAUUCCCCUGUUCCCCCUCCCCGCACUCCUCUCUCUCCUCCCCGCGUCACCCCUGCUGCCCCGCCACCUCCAGCCCGCUCUGCUACGCCGCCGUCGCGCUCCUGCCGCCCGUGCCCUCGCCGCUCCCAUCCGACGGAGCAAUCGGCGCCGGCUAGCCCGGACCAGCUCAGCCCCGCCGUGAGGUGACCGGUGGACUGCGAGAGGGAGAGCGCCUCCGCCUCAGAUCCACCGAACAAGUCUCUGAGCCCAAUCUCCCCCCACCCAUGCGCCCGCCGACGAUGCUCCGCUGGGCCACGGUGGCGCUCGUGGCGACGCUCCUCGCCGCCACGCCGGCCACCGCCUUCUACCUCCGCGGCGGAUCUCGACAGCCAGAUCCAGCGUGCCGCGUGCGUUUGUUCGUUGGGAGCUGCCUGUGUCUAUCGAGUUAAUUGCAAUAAGGGUUCGGGAUCUAGACAUGCAUCCUGCUGGCUGUUUUGCUUCUGUGUGGAGUAGUGUGAUCUUACGAAUUGCAUUUGGCUAGGUCCCUUGUUUCAAAUCUCUCUGUGUUGAAGAAAAAUGAAUAUCCUCUGAUCUAAGCGGCGACGAUAAAUGCUCUAUAGUGCGCCUUACGUUUGAUUAACGUUUGUCUAAUCGAAUAUGUGCUGUGAGUAUGCUACAGUAUACCCUCUUACAUUCAAAAUAUUCCGUUAUUUAUGUUUUUGUCCACUUGGUUCCGGAAGGCGAUUAUAUGAAAUCAUAUAGUAUAUGGAGUGCACGUGCACAUGCAUGGGGG
rnacentral:lncRNA from 1 species